rnacentral:rRNA from 1 species
ACGUAUGGUGCAAGCGUUAUCCGGAUUUACUGGGUGUAAAGGGAGCGUAGACGGAGUGGCAAGUCUGAUGUAAAAACCCGGGGCUCAACCCCGGGACUGCAUUGGAAACUGUCAAUCUGGAGUACCGGAGAGGUAAGCGGAAUUCCUAGUGUAGCGGUGAAAUGCGUAGAUAUUAGGAGGAACACCAGUGGCGAAGGCGGCUUACUGGACGGUGACUGACGUUGAGGCUCGAAAGCGUGGGGAGCAAACAG